GCGCCAGUAGCUCAGCUGGAUAGAGCAUCGGAUUUCUAAUCCGAGGGUCGAAGGUUCAAAUCCUUCCUGGCGUA
rnacentral:tRNA from 4 species